rnacentral:rRNA from 1 species
AAGUCGUACCAGGUUACCGUUUGCAGCUAAGCACGGAGGACCUUGCACAGGACUAUAAACAGUGCAAGUUGGUUCGACCAGCAACACAAUCGAAUUGCGGGGACGUCUUAAAGCCUGCUAGCACCUCCCGUUGGCGAAAGCUAACGGCCGGUAAGAGCCUACGGGAUGCACAAUAGACCAUCCGCAGCGAAGACCCUAAAGCCUCGGCUACGGGUAUCGUUCACAGACUAGGUGAUUGUGGGAGGGUUACCCUUCUAAGAUAUAGUCGGUUACAGUGGGAGACCUCUGUAUUUAUAGCGUCCGUAGGUGAACCUGCGGAAGGAUCAUUAAAAAUGAAGCCGGGAAACCGGUCCUUCUAACCCUUGAUUAUCUUAAAUUUGUUGCUUUGGCGGGCCGCGCAAGCACCGGCUUCGGCUGGAUAGUGCCCGCCAGAGGACCACAACUCUGUAUCAAAUGUCGUCUGAGUACUAUAAAAUAGUUAAAACUUUCAACAACGGAUCUCUUGGUUCUGGCAUCGAUGAAGAACGCAGCGAAAUGCGAUAAGUAAUGUGAAUUGCAGAAUUCAGUGAAUCAUCGAAUCUUUGAACGCACAUUGCGCCCUCUGGUAUUCCGGAGGGCAUGCCUGUUCGAGCGUCAUAAUAACCAAAUCACCCCCGUGGUGGACUUGGAGUUGGCCGGAGGGCCUCUCUUAAAAUCAGUGGCGGUGCUCUCAAGCUCUACGCGUAGUAAUUCUCUCGCGACAGUGUCUUGUGGGUGCUUGCCAGCAACCCCAACUAUUAUAAGGUUGACCUCGGAUCAGGUAGGGAUACCCGCUGA